rnacentral:rRNA from 1 species
AGUGAACGCUGGCGGUAGGCCUAACACAUGCAAGUCGAACGGCAGCACAGUAAGAGCUUGCUCUUACGGGUGGCGAGUGGCGGACGGGUGAGGAAUACAUCGGAAUCUACUUUUUCGUGGGGGAUAACGUAGGGAAACUUACGCUAAUACCGCAUACGACCUACGGGUGAAAGCAGGGGAUCUUCGGACCUUGCGCGAUUGAAUGAGCCGAUGUCGGAUUAGCUAGUUGGCGGGGUAAAGGCCCACCAAGGCGACGAUCCGUAGCUGGUCUGAGAGGAUGAGGGGGCAAAAGGGAACACAGAAAAGGUCCAGAACACGAAGGGAGGAAGCAGGAGGGAAUCGUCGGAAAUGGGCGAAAGACUGACGGAGCAAAGACGCGUGAGUGAAGAAGGGCUUCGGGUCGGAAAACUCUGUUAGUAGGGAAAAAAAAAGGGGAAGGUAAAAGCGCGCAGCUUGACGGGAACUAAACGGAAAGACACGGCUAACGUCGGG